UACGUAGGGACCAAGCGUUGUUCGGAUUUACUGGGCGUAAAGGGCGCGUAGGCGGCAAUUCAAGUCAGCUGUGAAAUCUCCGGGCUUAACUCGGAACGGUCAGCUGAUACUGCUUUGCUAGAGUGCAGAAGGGGCAAUCGGAAUUCUUGGUGUAGCGGUGAAAUGCGUAGAUAUCAGGAGGAACACCGGUGGUGUAGACGGCUUUCUGGACCGUAACUGACGCUGAGACACGAAAGCGUGGGGAGCAAACAGG
rnacentral:rRNA from 1 species